AUGUGCCAGCAGCCCUCUGGGGGCCGAGGCAACAUUGUGCGCCAUUUAAUAACGGCACAUACGGUUGAAGAAAAGAAGUUACCUGGUACGUGGCGAGAAGCUUUCCUGUGUUCUCGCCUCAGCAACCUGCGAGGAAGGGGAAUGGCUGGUCAAUGGAAACACAGCAUUUGGAAAGGUGUGUGUUUGCUGCUAAUCAAAACUCAUUUCCUGGGCUCCAGCUGGUGGCAUCAUAAAUGGGAGGAGGGCUCCUGCAGCAUGGUAGCUAAGGUAAUGUCUGUUUCAAUUUGGAAAUGUUCAACCUACCUCAGAUACCAGAUGAAGUAA
rnacentral:lncRNA from 1 species